AUAUGAAUAUAUAUAGGUCUCAAGUCUGAUUGUACGUUGCUUCCUAUGGUGUGCUCCACCUGAAUCUUGGAUCAGCAUGAUUAUUGGGAAGGUACGGUGAAAAUGACGAGACGCGCAAGAUUCAUGGUUCAGAUUCCACAUACACAUCAUAGGUGGGCUCCAAACAGCUACGCUUCGAUUGAUCAGUCCCCAUCUACAUAUAUCAAAGGCUAUCUCAAAACACAUUCAUUUAAGAUCACCAGCCAAAAACCUGUGCAAUCUACCAUUAACCUCAAUCAUGCUACAACCAGCUGUUUUACUAAUCCCUGCAUCAUUCAUCACUGCCCUCCAUCAUGGAUUUUAUAUGAUUUUAUUAAGAAGGUUUUUGUUAGAUUUGUGCUUUAUUAGGAGUUUAAAACAGAAUUCCUGCUAUGUUCUUGGAAAUUGGUACAGGAAAAAAAGCGGCGUGGACAGAGGACCAGACCAUUUCUUAAAGGAAGCGCUCCUGCCCAAUUAGCAUUUUUUGCAAGCUGAAUACCCUAUGUGUGCAUCUGUAGCAUGUAGCAUUCUUUCUCUCCCUUUUAAUUUUUUUUUUUAAUAGGUUGCACAGUUUGAUUUUCUUCGGCACAGUUGCAGUCAAACACCUAUAGUCAAUAUAGCAGUAGUUCCCUCUUAACUAAUAAAGAUCACAUGCACAGCCAUGAAAGCCUACCUGAUCACCUAAGAAGAAGAUGCCCAUGAAUUUUUGAGGUCAGCUGUUUAAACUAUUUCUGGAGUUUAUGCUGCAUCCAUCUGGACAUAUAUUUUAUCAUUUCAAAUGCAUGUAAUGAUAUCCUGUUAAUGGGUGAUUUUGGCAGGUAUGCUAUUGAUACAAUGCAAUCUCUGUGCCUUAAGGAAGCUGGUGCAAAUGCAACGGACUCUUUAGCAGGGGAAACUACUCUUAUACAACUGAUUUUCGGGGGUUACCUUCGAUUUAAGAUAAGGUGCAUGAAAUGCCAAAGAAAGUCUGAGAAGCAUGAACGGAUGAUGGAUCUAACUGUUGAGAUACAUGGGGAUAUUGGAACUCUUGAAGAAGCACUUG